rnacentral:lncRNA from 1 species
CUGGCUUUAAACCCUCCUGCAACCUGGCAAACAGGGGUGGGGGAGGGGGGAGUAAUGGGGGGGAAUAAGGUGGUGAUGGGGAUGGGGUGUGGUUGGGGUGGGGAAGGGUGUGGAGGGGAGGGGGAGGGCGGAGAACAACAAUAAAUACACAGUUUGCCCCCUGGUCCAGCACCUCCUCUUGCCACUGGUAUAUGGAGGAUGAUUCAGAGGGUACUGGUCUUCGUGAGCAGCACCAGAACGGGUUUUAUUUCUUGAAGCCAACCUGAUCUGGGUCCCCGCUUUUCUCCCAGCGACUUCUUUCUCCCCAGCCCCCCACUCACACAAGACCCUCUCACUUUCCUAAAACAACCCUGACUCUGUGCUAGGCAGCAACGGCAGCGGCGGCGACGGCAAAGUGGUGCAUGGGGCUGUUAAGGCCGAGUAAACUCGUGGGCUCUUGUCCAUGCCCAGAACCAGAGGAAAGGAAGAGCCCAGGAAGUACGGAGCUGGGGGCGCUCUAGGAGAAAGCCGACUGUGGCAGGUUCCAGUCCAACUUGGCUGAGGAGAAAGAGACCCUCUGUGCCCACAUCCCGCUCCAAAGAGCGCUGCUGUUACUGCUGUUGCUGCUGCUGCUGCCGCUGCUGCCGCCGCUGCCGCCGCCGACACCCGUCAGAGGGAUCCCACAGAGACCUGCUCCUUCCAUUGCAGAUCACUCUGUCCUGGCACCCGCACUUGAGCUCCUUCCUUUUCACUAGAGACUGGGAAUUCUUCGAACCACUUUUAAUGCCCAGUUCCAGGUGGACCCCAACCUCCUUUUCACUCUCCCCCCCCUUUCACUUCCCCACCCCCACUCGUGCUCUGGCUUUCCUGUAACAUCUCACAGAGUCUCUCCCUUUAAGUGGACCCGGUCAAUUCCUUCCCCCCUCUCCCCGCCUCCCGGUCUUCCCCCCACCCCAACCUUUUCCUGUCCCCCCCUCCUUCCUUCUCUCUCUC